rnacentral:rRNA from 1 species
AUUGAACGCUAGCGGGAGGCCUUACACAUGCAAGUCGAACGGAGUGGCGAACGGGUGAGUAAUGUAUAGGAACGUGCCCAGUAGCGGGGGAUAACUACGGGAAAGCGUAGCUAAUACCGCAUACUAUUGGAGCGGCCUAGAUCGGAUUAGCUAGUUGGUGGGGUAACGGCUCACCAAGGCGACGAUCCGUAGCUGGUGUGAGAGGACGACCAGCCACACUGGGACUGAGACACGGUCCAGACUCCUACGGGAGGCAGCAGUGGGGAAUAUUGGACAAUGGGCGAAAGCCUGAUCCAGCCAUGCCGCGUGUGUGAAGAAGGGCUUCGGAUUGUAAAGCACUUUUAGCAGGGAAGCGUUACCUGCAGAAUAAGCACCGGCUAACUACGUGCCAGCCGCCGCGGUAAUAC